rnacentral:lncRNA from 1 species
UACAGGUGCAAGGCACAAGGCCAGAGUCAAACUCUUUCAUCUGUGGGACCCCAGGCAAUCUGCCACCCCUCCCCAUCCCGCAGAGCCUGUAACCACCACCCACCUCGGAGGGCUGGCAAGGAGCGAUGCAAUGUUUGUGGAGUGUUUAACUCAGGCCAACCCCUGCAGCGUCACCCCAGAGACCAAGCUGUCAGCACGUGAGCCUUAGGUGACGUUCAACAUCUAGAGGGAGCAGAGCUGGGUGACUUCCCAGAGAGACUCGGCAGCUGAGAGGACACAAGACCGCAAACAGAUGACCCAAGAGGCAGAGUCCUGGUCAGUGUUUCCUGCAGUUGUCUUAGGAACCCAAGAAGAGAGUCUGCCUGAGAAAGAAAAGCUGACAUUAAAGCCGUAAAACUGGGUAUGAAUGAAC